rnacentral:lncRNA from 1 species
UCAUCCAAAAAAUUUAAAAACGAUAAAAUUCUAUUAAUUUUUAUUUUUUGAAAACAAGAAGGAAAAUAAGAACAUGUGCAAGUGUUCCCUUGCAAGGCAAAACAUAUAGAUCCAAAAAAAAAAAAAAAGAGAAAUAACUAAAAAAUGUGGGAGUUUGUUGUCACUACUUGAGGUAUGUCCAUGUGAAAGCUCUUCUCUUAUCUUUCCACAACUUGUAUUAAUAUUUUUGUAGUUUAGCUUUGCCACUUAGUCAAACAACAUUACUAACACAUCACAUCAACGGUUUGGUCCUCGUUCCAAUUGUGUUUAUCCCCCC